rnacentral:lncRNA from 1 species
GGUGCUCUGUGCUGGGGUGUUCUUUUCUCGGAGGGCGCACUCGGGGAAGGUGGAAAGGUUUCCCCCUUCAGGGGUGACCAAGACAAGCCGCUAAGCCUAACCUGACUCCAGCAGGGGAUGGGGCGGAUCGGAAGUUACCUUACCCCCCUGCUUAGCCCUAGAAUCAAGGACGUACCAAGUCACAUAAAAGUACAACCGUCGAGGCCAGGCGCGGUGGCUCACGCCUGUAAUCCCAGCACUUUGGAAGGCCGAGGUGGGUGGAUCACGAGGUCAGGAGUUCAAGACCAGCCUGGCCAAGAUGGUGAAACCCCGUCUCUACUAAAAAUACAAAAAAAUUAGCCGGGCGUGGUGGCGGGCGCCUGUAAUCCCAGCUACUCGGGAGGCUGAGGCAAAGACUUGCUUGAACCCGGGAGGCGGAGAUUGCAGGUAGCCGAGAUCGCGCCACUGCACUCCAGCCUGGGCGACAGAGCGAGACUCUGUCUCAAAAAAAAAAAAAAAAAAGUACAACCUUCGAAUCCCGAAAGGGGUGUGUGCGUGUGGGCGGACCUAGGACUCCAGAGUAUAAGAGCUGGAACUGACCUCGGGACUGUGUCCCCCAAAACACUGAAAAUGAGACCUGAGGUGCUGGGCUUUCCUCACACCCACCGACUUACUCCCAUUUAGGCGGCCCCGACUCCGCCCCUCCUCCCUACCUCCCUCAUCCUACCCCUCUCUUUUUGCCCCCACAGUCCCAGCUUCCUUUAGAUGGAUGGAGGUCUCUCGGAGGAGCUUCAGCUUUGUGGACUCAGGCUGCCUUCCCCACUUGCUCUUUAGGCCUCGGGGCACGCUCCGCUGGCUACAGCUCCUGGAGUCUCUGCUCAAGGUUGUGGGUGCUUUUGUUCCCCAGCGGUGGUAGCUCCAGAAAGGCUGGUUUCAGCUCAAUAUCAGGUCUUUUCCAGUGAUCUACAUCUGUCCACAGGUGACAUGGGCUGCCUUGGGACAAUGGUAGCUGUUCAAGUCAAGGCCGGCAAGAGUGGUGUAGAGUGAGAUUGCACUGGGUGACUUCUGAGCUAAAUCCAACCCCAAUAUUCUGUGAUUCAGUGGCACUCACCCUGCCAAGGAAGGGGCUUCCUUCCUGCUGCAGUUCCCAUUGCCCAACAUGCAUCAGGUCUUACUGAUGAUUAGAGGACAACUAGGUCACAGCUAAGCUUGCCAGGUACUAUCAGACACCUGCUUCCUAUGGUCCCUUCCUCAUGAGGACAGGUGAGGUCAUGAUCUGCAUAUGCCUGUGUGCCAUACAGUGAUCAUGUGUGCCUGUUUCUGCUGUUCCUACGCACGUAUACAAAACCUUUUUAUAUAACAUCAUUUUAAUGGAAAUGCUGUUUUUCCAAAAUGAAAGUGGCUGUUACAGAUCUGAAUGAUGCUUAUGUAACUUUAAACACUGAAUUUGGGUAGAUCUUAAUUCAUUAACAGAAAGGGAAACGGAGGAGUUCUGACAUACCCACCUCCCAUCAUUAAAACAAUAGGAUCUUUAAGGUAAAUCUUCAAUAGUCAGGUUGCUAUGGGGGCCUUUUUAGACCCUUCCCCUGCCCUCUUCUAAGGUAGAUUAGUUGCAGUGGGAGGAAUGCAGGCAGGAGCUGAGGACUGAGGAUUUAGAGGGGCCUGCUACCCAUAGCACUGUAGGGCAGGACACUUCACUUCGUUAUGCUUCCAUUUCCUCAUCCAUAGAGACAAUACCUCCCCUUUUGUAAUUUACAAAGUACUUUCACAUAUAUUAUCUAUUUCAUUUGAUCUCUCACUUCUUUGAGGUUGAUAGAGCAGAUAUUAUGCCCAUUUUUAUAGAUGCCUGUUUUGUAAAUGAGGAAUUGGUCUGGGAAGGUUAAUUGACUCACCUGAGACCUCACAGCUUGUUAAGAAGAGGAGACAGGAUGUCUUUGGACUUUAAGACUAGAACCCUUGACACUUUAACAUAGUUCCCUUCUUAUCUAUAGGAUGGAGGAGACACUAGAACCUAUCGCUCUCUUUUCCUGCUGUGAACUCCAAUUGCAUCACCUCCUGGUU